ACUCAAAGGAAUAGACGGGGGCCCGCACAAGAGGUGGAGUAUGUGGUUUAAUUCGAAGCAACGCGAAGAACCUUACCUGGGUUUGACAUCCCAUGAAAAACGCAGAGAUGCGUAAUAGUCGCAAGACACAUGGAGACAGGUGCUGCAUGGCUGUCGUCAGCUCGUGUCGUGAGAUGUUGGGUUAAGUCCCGCAACGAGCGCAACCCUUUCCCUUAUUUGCCAGCAUUAAGUUGGGCACUCUAGGGGUACUGCCGAUGAUAAAUCGGAGGAAGGUGGGGACGAGGUCAAGUCAUCAUGGCCCUUAUGUCCAGGGCAACACACGUACUACAAUGGCCAAGACAAAGCGAUGCAAGACCGCAAGGUUUAGCCAAUCGCAAAAACAUGGUCUCAGUUCGGAUUGCGGUCUGCAACUCGACCGCAUGAAGUUGGAAUCUCUAGUAAUCGCAGAUCAGCAGGCUGCGGUGAAUACGUUCCCGGGCCUUGUACACACCGCCCGU
rnacentral:rRNA from 1 species